UACGUAGGGUGCGAGCGUUGUCCGGAAUUAUUGGGCGUAAAGGGCUCGUAGGCGGUUUGUCGCGUCGGGUGUGAAAACCUCGGGCUUAACUCGGGGCUUGCUUUCGAUACGGGCAGACUAGAGGUAUGCAGGGGAGAACGGAAUUCCUGGUGUAGCGGUGAAAUGCGCAGAUAUCAGGAGGAACACCAGUGGCGAAGGCGGCUUCCUGGCCUGUAACUGACGCUGAGACGCGAAAGCGUGGGGAGCGAACCGG
rnacentral:rRNA from 1 species